rnacentral:rRNA from 1 species
CCUGGCUCAGGAUGAACGCUAGCGGCAGGCCUAACACAUGCAAGUCGAGGGGCAGCGGGGAAAAGCUUGCUUUUCCGCCGGCGACCGGCGCACGGGUGCGCACCGCGUAUGGAACCUGCCUUGUACAGGGGAAUAGCCCAGGGAAACUUGGAUUAAUGCCCCGUAGUACCGUAUUUCGGCAUCGUUAUAUGGUUAAAGCCUUCGGGCGGUACAAGAUGGCCAUGCGUCCCAUUAGCUUGUUGGUAAGGUAACGGCUUACCAAGGCUACGAUGGGUAGGGGCCCUGAGAGGGGGAUCCCCCACACUGGUACUGAGACACGGACCAGACUCCUACGGGAGGCAGCAGUGAGGAAUAUUGGACAAUGGAGGAGACUCUGAUCCAGCCAUGCCGCGUGCAGGAAGAAUGCCCUAUGGGUAGUAAACUCUUUUAUACGGGAAGAAAAAGAGCUACGUGUAGCUUACUGACGGU